rnacentral:rRNA from 1 species
AGACCCGAAACCCGGUGAUCUAGCCAUGGGCAGGUUGAAGGUUGGGUAACACUAACUGGAGGACCGAACCGACUAAUGUUGAAAAAUUAGCGGAUGACCUGUGGCUGGGGGUGAAAGGCCAAUCAAACCGGGAGAUAGCUGGUUCUCCCCGAAAGCUAUUUAGGUAGCGCCUCGUGAAUUCAUCUCCGGGGGUAGAGCACUGUUUCGGCUAGGGGGCCAUCCCGGCUUACCAACCCGAUGCAAACUGCGAAUACCGGAGAAUGUUAUCACGGGAGACACACGGCGGGUGCUAACGUCCGUCGUGAAGAGGGAAACAACCCAGACCGCCAGCUAAGGUCCCAAAGUCAUGGUUAAGUGGGAAACGAUGUGGGAAGGCCCAGACAGCCAGGAUGUUGGCUUAGAAGCAGCCAUCAUUUAAAGAAAGCGUAAUAGCUCACUGGUCGAGUCGGCCUGCGCGGAAGAUGUAACGGGGCUAAACCAUGCACCGAAGCUGCGGCAGCGAACGUAUCACUUAAAGCGAUUCAGCGGGUUACGAUUGACGGAGCGAAGCGACGUCAAAGCGUAUACAAAGUCGAGUCGGUUUAAGGAUACGUUCGUUGGGUAGGGGAGCGUUCUGUAAGCCUGCGAAGGUGGCCUGUGAGGGUUGCUGGAGGUAUCAGAAGUGCGAAUGCUGACAUAAGUAACGAUAAAGCGGGUGAAAAGCCCGCUCGCCGGAAGACCAAGGGUUCCUGUCCAACGUUAAUCGGGGCAGGGUGAGUCGACCCCUAAGGCGAGGCCGAAAGGCGUAGUCGAUGGGAAACGGGUUAAUAUUCCCGUACUUGGUGUUACUGCGAAGGGGGGACGGAGAAGGCUAUGUUGGCCGGGCGACGGUUGUCCCGGUUUAAGCGUGUAGGUGUGUGUUCCAGGUAAAUCCGGUUCACUUUAACACUGAGGCGUGACGACGAGGCACUACGGUGCUGAAGCAACAAAUGCCCUGCUUCCAGGAAAAGCCUCUAAGCAUCAGGUAACAUCAAAUCGUACCCCAAACCGACACAGGUGGUCAGGUAGAGAAUACCAAGGCGCUUGAGAGAACUCGGGUGAAGGAACUAGGCAAAAUGGUGCCGUAACU